rnacentral:rRNA from 1 species
CCUACGGGCGGCAGCAGUGAGGCAUAUUGGUCAAUGGUCGGGAGACUGAACCAGCCAAGCCGCGUGAGGGAUGAAGGUACAGAGUAUCGUAAACCUCUUUUGUCAGGGAACAAAGGCGGGGACGCGUCCCCGGAUGAGUGUACCUGAAGAAAAAGCAUCGGCUAACUCCGUGCCAGCCGCCGCGGUAAUACGGAGGAUGCGAGCGUUAUCCGGGUUUGUUGGGUUUAAAAGGUGCGGAGGGGGUGUGUUAAGUCAGCGGUAAAAGACCGGGGCAAGACCCCGGCCAGCCGUUGAAACUGGCAGUCUCGAGUUGGAGAGAAGUAUGCGGAAUGCGCGGUGUAGCGAUGAAAUGCAUAGAUAGCGCGCAGAACUCCGAUUGCGAAGGCAGCAUGCCGGCUCCACACUGACGCUGAGGCACGAAAGCGUGGGUAUCGAACAGGAUUAGAUACCCCAGUAGUC